CACCGUGUUAGCUUCUGGAUAUAGAGCAACAGCAAAAUGAACACAGCCCCCGCCUUAUUGUUCUUACAGCUCAGCUCUGCACGGGAAGACAGACAAGAAACAGCACCCACUUGCAAUUAAAUACAACAGUAAUUAAAAUCUCUAAAUUCACUCAGAAUGACUGUCCCAUCGGUCACCUCCAGAAAGCCUUCAAAUGUCAUUGUGAAAAGAAUGUCUUCUCAGAGAUGCCGGGUGCUAAGACAGAGGCAGGAGUGGUAUUGGAAUUGGAUCAAGGUGAUAGACCGAACGCAGAUGACUGCCAGAUUUUUAGGACAACAGGGAUAAACCCAACAAGCACAAGAAACUAAGAGAAAGAAACA